CCUACGGGAGGCAGCAGUGGGGAAUUUUGGACAAUGGGCGCAAGCCUGAUCCAGCCAUGCCGCGUGUGGGAAGAAGGCCUUCGGGUUGUAAACCACUUUUGUCAGGGAAGAAACGGUUUGAUCUAAUACAUCGGACUAAUGACGGUACCUGAAGAAUAAGCACCGGCUAACUACGUGCCAGCAGCCGCGGUAAUACGUAGGGUGCAAGCGUUAAUCGGAAUUACUGGGCGUAAAGCGUGCGCAGGCGGCUUUGCAAGACAGAUGUGAAAUCCCCGGGCUCAACCUGGGAACUGCAUUUGUGACUGCAUGGCUAGAGUACGGUAGAGGGGGAUGGAAUUCCGCGUGUAGCAGUGAAAUGCGUAGAUAUGCGGAGGAACACCGAUGGCGAAGGCAAUCCCCUGGACCUGUACUGACGCUCAUGCACGAAAGCGUGGGGAGCAAACAGGAUUAGAUACCCUGGUAGUCCACGCCCUAAACGAUGUCAACUGGUUGUUGGACGGCUUGCUGUUCAGUAACGAAGCUAACGCGUGAAGUUGACCGCCUGGGGGNGGACGGCGCGAGUAGAACGACGAAAGAAGUAGACGGCGNGAGACGNGACCGACGGACGACGACGAGGGGAGGAGGG
rnacentral:rRNA from 1 species